rnacentral:rRNA from 1 species
UACGUAGGGUGCAAGCGUUGUCCGGAAUUAUUGGGCGUAAAGAGCUCGUAGGCGGUCUGUCGCGUCGGCUGUGAAAACCCGAGGCUCAACCUCGGGCCUGCAGUCGAUACGGGCAAACUAGAGUACUGCAGGGGAGACUGGAAUUCCUGGUGUAGCGGUGAAAUGCGCAGAUAUCAGGAGGAACACCGGUGGCGAAGGCGGGUCUCUGGGCAGUAACUGACGCUGGAGGAGCGAAAGCCGUGGGGAGC